rnacentral:tRNA from 1 species
UAUAGCUCAGUGGCACAGUGUGUGCUUGGCAAGCACAAGGUCCUGAGUUCAAUUCCUGGUA